CUAGGGCUUGGGGAAGGAGACACUAUAGAAGGUUGUUGGAUCGCUUUGUCGGUGGGGAUAAAAUUAUUCAUCUAAGGAUGCCUUAAUCAUGAAAAGGUAGAGAGGUUUCUCUUAACCUCCAAUAGGAUUCUCUUUUUUCUAUUGCUUGAGAAUAAUAAUGAAUUCUUGAUGUGUGAUUAUGUGUUCAUGAAUUGUAUGUGAGGUUGAAUUUGAUAUGUGAGGUUGAAUUUGAUGUUAUUUUU
rnacentral:lncRNA from 1 species